UACGUAGGGGGCAAGCGUUGUCCGGAAUUAUUGGGCGUAAAGGGCGCGUAGGCGGCCUGGCAAGUGGAAGGUGAAAUCCCUCGGCUUAACCGAGGAACUGCCCUCCAAACUGCUUGGCUUGAGACCAGGAGAGGUGAGUGGAAUUCCCAGUGUAGCGGUGAAAUGCGUAGAUAUUGGGAGGAACACCAGUGGCGAAGGCGGCUCACUGGACUGGUACUGACGCUGAGGCGCGAAAAGCGUGGGGGAGCAAACGGG
rnacentral:rRNA from 1 species